UGAGGGGUGCCGCGCGGGAACGUCCGUCGGCUGAGAUCAUACCCGCGAACCUGAUCCGGGCAAUGCCGGCGUAGGGAAAGCUGA
rnacentral:ncRNA from 1 species